CUGGUUGAUCCAGCCAGUAACGUAUGCUUGUCUCGAAGAUUAAGCCAUGCAUGUGUCAGUACGAACAACUCGUAAGUGUGAAACUGCGAAGGGCUCAUUAAAACAGUUAUAAUCUGAGUGGUCAUCAUUACUAAUAGGAUAACUGUAGUAAUUCUAGAGCUAAUACUUGCAACAAACAACAACUAGCUGUAAAAGGUUGGAAGUUGAGUAUUUAUUAGGCACAAACAUCAACACUACUUAGAAAUAAGUAGAACAAAUGGUGAAACUAGAUGACUAACCGAUCGCAUAGCUAUAAGCUGGCGACAGACCACUAUGGAUAUCUGAUCUAUCAACUUUGGACUGCGCUGUCGUGGAGCGCAGUGGUGUUGACGGGUAACGGAGAAUUUGCGUUUGGUUCCGGAGAGGGAGCCUGAGAAAUAGCUACCACUUCUAAGGAAGGCAGCAGGCGCGCAAAUUACCCAAUGGCAACUAAGCCGAGGUAGUGAAAAGACGUACAAGGAGUUAUCUAAUAGAUAAUUCACUUGAAUGAGAGAGUUUUAAACGUACUCUUGAGCAACGAUUGAAGGGCAAGUCUGGU
rnacentral:rRNA from 1 species